AUAAAAGCGUCUGCUAAAUGCCCUAAAUGUAAAUUAAAUGGGUGUAACGGUACACAAAAAUCUCGGUUCGGUACGUACCUCGGUUUUGAGGUCACGGUUCGGUUCAUUUUCGGUACAGUAAGAAAUCAAAAUGCUAAAUAUAAAUGUGCUUCAUAACAUGUGCUUCAAGUUGUUCAUAACACACUUUUGUGGUUUUUACAAUAGGAACAUUAGACAAUACAAAGCUAGAAUUCUGCUCAAAAAUAUAAAGAUUCUGAAAUGUAGAAAUAAAAAUAAAUAACAUUG